CAGAGGUUGUGGGUACCUCCAUGACACACUCUAGCCUCAUCUGUAGGAUCUAGGCUUUGUCCACAUGCAGAGUAUAAAGGUUAUGGGAUCAUGUAGGAUUCCGGUGAGAUUUCAAUGGCAAGUCAGGUGUGGGGGUGGGGAACAAGUAGUGUUGUGGUAGUUCUGAGCCCCUGCAAGCAGCCCCUGACAGGAUGAGACACAGAGGGAGCAGUGAGAGUGAGGCUGGAGCUGCAGUGGAGACCCAGGAGGGAAGAAGGCCGGAAUGUGGAACACCUGCCUCCCUGCCUAGGACCUCACAGCUGAAUGUGUCUCAGAGAGAACUAUGGACUUCAACUUUUGAACAUUUUAUACUCUGGGGACUCUUUGGGGUGCACUAAAGGCAUUUAGCAUUGAGAGGUAGAUGUGAGCCUUGGGGGAACAGAAUAGGAUGCUUACAGUUGGAUCUGAAAUGUUCCUGAAAGGGUCAUGUAUUGAAGGUUUGGUCCCUAGCUUGGUGCGACUGGGAGAGGAGGAAUGUGCAACUGGGAGAGGUGGAAACUUGAGGAAAGUUUUUAGUCACUGGACAAUUCUGUAGACUGAGAUGUGAGGAUUCUGGUCUUG
rnacentral:lncRNA from 1 species